CGUGGAUUUAGUAAAAUUAAUUCGGUAGCAUAGACGUUGCUAUGUUAGUUUUAUAGGAGAAACCAAUAUAGAUUUUGGAAGAGAGUAAUGGAGCAAAUCGAUAAUCUCUCGAUCGAUAGAUCAGAUACAACUAAAAACUUAAACAAGAAACGAACUGAUCAUAUCCUAUGGAAGAAGAUGCUGAGGCCGUCAUUGCCGUUGAAUCCCAGCCAUCCGAUGGGGUCAACGAGGUGAAACGACUCCGCAUCCGACGACGCAACGGUUCUCUCGAACCUCCCGCGAAGGUACUCCACCCCGGCGCCGCCGGGAAGCCGCCCGGCUCCGGCGGGGGCGGCCCCC
rnacentral:lncRNA from 1 species